UGGAGGAAAGAAAAGCCAGAGUGAAGCAGACCAUUAGCAGAUAAUUGUCAUAAUCUUGAUACUAAAUGGAGACCAGAAUUAAGGCUUUCAAAGAAUUGAAUGAAGCCCAUCCACACUGGGAAGGCAAUCUGCUUUGUUCAGUCUACUGAUUCAACUGUCAAUCUCAUCCAGAAACACCUUCCCAGAUGCACCAAGAAUGUUUAAGCAAAUAUCUGGGCACCUCGUGGUCCAGUCAAUUUGACAUAUAAAAU
rnacentral:lncRNA from 10 species